GCACACUCCUAACAGCUAGCUCACCCCUAAAAACCAACAACCAACAUUAAUAACCCCACAGACACUCUCCAACAUUAAACAAACCAUUUUACCCCCCUAGUAUGGGCGACAGAAAAGGGA
rnacentral:rRNA from 1 species